GACAGAGGGUGCAAACGUUGUUCGGAUUUACUGGGCGUAAAGCGCGUGUAGGCGGCUUUGCAAGUCGGAUGUGAAAGCCCACGGCUCAACCGUGGAAGUGCAUCCGAAACUGCAUGGCUCGAGUCCGGGAGAGGGUAGCGGAAUUCCUGGUGUAGAGGUGAAAUUCGUAGAUAUCAGGAGGAACACCGGUGGCGAAGGCGGCUACCUGGACCGGUACUGACGCUGAGACACGAAAGCGUGGGGAGCAAACAGG
rnacentral:rRNA from 1 species